GACAGAGGCCUCAAGCGUUAGGCGGAAUCACUGGGCUUAAAGCGUGUGUAGGCGGAUCGUUAAGUGUCUUGUGAAAUCCCACGGCUCACCCGUGGAACUGCUGGGCAUACUGGCGAUCUUGGGCCAACUAGGGGCAGCCGGAACAAGCGGUGGAGCGGUGAAAUGCGUAGAUAUCGCUUGGAACGCCGAAGGUGAAAACAGGCUGCUGGGGUUGCGCCGACGCUGAGACACGAAAGCCAGGGGAGCAAACGGG
rnacentral:rRNA from 1 species